CAUGAGAAUUCAAGAUGGAUAACGUCCAUCUUUCAGAGCUUUAGAUAGAUGGCUGGGAAUCUAGGAGGAUAGUCAAGUUAACAUCUGGCAGAAAGAAUUACUUGGAAGAAUACCAUAUGUCCUGAACACAGACUGAAGAAGAUGAAGAUGAUGCUGGCUGACAGUAAAGAGCAUUUUUAGGAACCUGAAUAAGGUCUUGUGCAAUAUAAUAAUCGAAGCUGGAAGUGUCUAUGCAGCUUUGCCAAGAAGACAAAUUGGGUAAGUUUACGUAGUAUUUUAAUUUUUAAAACUUUAUUGAUCUCAAAAAAUUUGGCAAGCUUUCAUCAAAAAUAGAUAAAAGGCGUAUAAGUUUCUCACCAGUUCUAGAGAUGAAGCGAAAGAAAUAUUUUAUGACAGAUUGUGCUGUAGUCAUAUAGUGAGUCAUAGCUAGAAUCAGAACUCAGAAAACUUGACUUUAUUUCCCCAUUUUUUUGCGUUUCUCUGCCAAGUGUUGCCCACAGGACUGUAUAAUAUUUGCAGGUUCAUUUUGGCUAAACAUUAAAUGAGUUCUUGAGUGAUGACACCUCUACUUCAGGAGAACAUUUGACUUUAACUAAAUCACAAAGAAGAGGGACUGUUUCCUAGAAACUACAUAAUGUUCUAUUGAAAUCACUUUUUCUUCAAGCAAAAUUCCUUUUUGGUGUAGCGGAUGGGUGAAAUGACAUUCUGAGCUCAUCUAAUCUUCAAUGUGUAGCCUUGUGCUACAACAAAGUGAAGAAAAAGCUGAAGGCUUACUGACAGCAAUAUAAUCUCCCUAAUACUGAGAUUGAUCUAUCUCGUCUGCAGAGAAAGAGGCGGCUGUGGUGCAUACCAAUGAAGAAGCAGAGCAUUUGGAAAGGCUGCAGCGAGUCUGAUCUGUCUGUCAGCAAAAGAGUGAGCUUGUUCACUAAAUAUCACAGCCUUCAGAUUAAGAAACUAUGUACGGGAGGCAAAAAAGAAGAUAACAUGAAGGAUGAGUGAAGAAAAGCAACAACUAUGUUCUCUGUGCGUGCUCUGAUUAGAACGCAAUAGAGGAAACCAUUCAAAGUUCAGUGGCUAGACAAGAGAGUCAAGGCUAGUAGACAAAGGUACAGUCAAGAAAAUUCAUCUUAAUGCUGCCAUCCAUGACUGCGAGAAUCAAAAUGAAUACUUAAAAUAUUAGACUAUUUAAAAUAUUGUUCUUUUUCCUGUUGUUGUUGGGAAUUAUCAUGAAAUACUUUCUGAAAGUAUUACAAAACCUAUUUGUCUGUAUGUUUGCUGAAGCAGUUGCAGUCAGUAGACUGGAAGGAGAUUCUGAGGAAUUCUUUGGAGUAUUUAGAAACUCUUAAAAAGCUUAAUUAUUUCAAAUCUCUAUACAAAAUAUACUCAGUAGGGACCAUGCAUAUCCUGUCUUACUCUUUUCAAAUACUUCAUCACACCUGUGGUUGGACCUUAUGAUCUUAAAGUCUUUUCCAACCUGAACAAUUCUGUGAUUUUAAUGUUAGUGGUUUUUUUUAAAAAAAAUAUCUUUACCUUUCACCAUAUAAAACAGUUGGAGAAAAAGAUGUGCAAGUGCCUAUAAUGAGUGCAAAUUCAUCUGGCUGUAUUUUUAUCUUUCAGCACCUGCUAGGCCAGCACGGGCAAAAAAAAAAUUUAAUCCCAUGUGUAAGUCAUGCAGCUGAACAUUUAUGCAUGGCUUGGAAAACCUAGACAGAUAAUGGACCAGUGUUGAAAUGUGCUAACCACAAUGCAAUAGGUAAACUAUAACUCGGAAGACGAUUCUGCAGGAUUCCUCCAUUUCUCUUGUUAUGUCCUGGUAUGUAUCUGAUGUGGAAUGACUGUUGUCACUGGGUACAAAACUAUGUUUUUCCUUCAAACACCUCUUCAGGUGUUUCUUCCACAUGUUCCUCAUCCAUACACGGGGACCUGGAGGAAACCAGAAAACAAUUA